rnacentral:tRNA from 1 species
GGGGCUGUAGCUCAGUGGUAGAGCACUUGCCUAGCAUGUGUGAGGCACUGAGUUCGAUCCUCAGUACCA